GCACUGUCACGGUCUGUCGCUGGUGUCAAAAUGGCACGAGAGGAAAGUCCGGGCAGCAUAGGGCGCCCCACUUCUGAAAGUGGAAGCUAUUGGCGACAGUAGGUGCCGGUAGAAGAAAACGACCGCCUCUCUUCGGAGGGGUAAGGGUGAGAAGGUGGUGUAAGAGACCACCAGCCAACGGGUGAUCGUUGGGCUGUACCGACUGGGGGCUGCAAGUUCAUGUAAACCGUCCCGAGAGAGGGUUGCCCGCCCGAGUUGACGAAGGUCUGAGCAGCAAUGCGAGGGCCGGGGCUCAUGCGGCGGAGGGUAGAAUGCUUGAGCCAUGGGGUGACUCAUGGACUAGAUAAAUGACAGACACCGUGCAAGCGGUACAGAACCCGGCUUAUAGGGGCAGUGCUUUC
rnacentral:RNase_P_RNA from 1 species